rnacentral:rRNA from 1 species
CAAGUAGGGGGCGAGCGUUGUCCGGAUUUAUUGGGCGUAAAGAGCUCGUAGGCGGCUCGGUAAGUCGGGUGUGAAAUUCCAGGGCUCAACCCUGGAACGCCACCCGAUACUGCCGUGGCUAGAGUCCGGUAGGGGAGCGUGGAAUUCCUGGUGUAGCGGUGAAAUGCGCAGAUAUCAGGAGGAACACCAGCGGCGAAGGCGGCGCUCUGGGCCGGAACUGACGCUGAGGAGCGAAAGCGUGGGGAGCAAACAGG